AGAGUUUGAUCAUGGCUCAGAACGAACGUUAGCGGCGCGCCUAACACAUGCAAGUCGCACGAGAAAGGGCUUCGGCCCCGGUAAAGUGGCGCACGGGUGAGUAACACGUGGGUAACCUGCCCUCGAGCGGGGGAUAACAUUCCGAAAGGAGUGCUAAUACCGCAUAAGACCACGAGCUCGAAAGAGCACGAGGUAAAAGCUGGCCUCUAUACAUAAGCUAGCACUUGAGGAUGGGCCCGCGGAGCAUCAGCUAGUUGGUGAGGUAAUGGCUCACCAAGGCUAAGACGCUUAGCUGGUCUGAGAGGAUGAUCAGCCACACUGGAACUGAGACACGGUCCAGACUCCUACGGGAGGCAGCAGUGGGGAAUCUUGCGCAAUGGGCGAAAGCCUGACGCAGCGACGCCGCGUGAGUGAUGAAGGCCUUCGGGUUGUAAAGCUCUGUGGGGAGAGAAGAAUUAGUGCAGCCCAAUACGCUGCAUGAUGACGGUAUCUCCUUAGCAAGCACCGGCUAACUCUGUGCCAGCAGCCGCGGUAAUAC
rnacentral:rRNA from 1 species